AGCUCAUUGGUAGAGCACUUGUCUCAUAUAUAUGAGGUCUUAGGUUCGAUCCCUGA
rnacentral:tRNA from 1 species